CAUCCGCGUGAGUGAAGAAGGCCUUCGGGUUGUAAAGCUCUUUCGCAAGGGAAGAAAACUUAUGAUCGAAUAAAUCAUGAGGUUGACGGUACCUUGAUAAGAAGCACCGGCUAACUACGUGCCAGCAGCCGCGGUAAUACGUAGGGUGCGAGCGUUAAUCGGAAUUACUGGGCGUAAAGCGUGCGCAGGCGGUUUUGUAAGUCGGAUGUGAAAUCCCCGGGCUCAACCUGGGAACUGCGUUCGAAACUGCAAGGCUAGAGUGUGUCAGAGGGGGGUAGAAUUCCACGUGUAGCAGUGAGAUGCGUAGAGAUGUGGAGGAAUACCAAUGGCGAAGGCAGCCCCCUGGGAUAACACUGACGCUCAUGCACGAAAGCGUGGGGAGCAAACAGGAUUAGAUACCCUGGUAGUCCACGCCCUAAACGAUGUCAACUAGUUGUUGGUAGAGUAAAAUCUAUGAGUAACGUAGCUAACGCGUGAAGUUGACCGCCUGGGGAGUACGGUCGCAAGAUUAAAACUCAAAGGA
rnacentral:rRNA from 1 species